AGCUCCAGUAGCGUAUAUUAAAGUUGUUGCAGUUAAAAAGCUCGUAGUUGGAUUUCUGGUACGCUGCGCCUGGCCCGCUCGCAAUAGUGAGUGAGUGCUGGUGCGCGGUUGCCAUCCUUCUAGAGAACGGGUCUACUCUUCAUUGAGCUGGAUUCGGGAUCUAGAUCUUUUACUUUGAAAAAAUUAGAGUGUUUAAAGCAGGCUUACGCUAUGAAUACAUUAGCAUGGAAUAAUAAUAUAGGACUUUGGUUCUAUUUUGUUGGUUUCUAGGACUGAAGUAAUGAUUGAUAGGGAUAGUUGGGGGUGCUAGUAUUCAGCGGCCAGAGGUGAAAUUCUUGGAUUCGCUGAAGACUAACUUAUGCGAAAGCAUUCACCAAGGAUGUCUUCUUUAAUCAAGAAC
rnacentral:rRNA from 1 species